AUUCUAGUAGCUUAACUAAUUUAAAGCAUUGGCCUUGUAAACCAAAGACUGAGAACCUAAACCCUCCUAGAAUA
rnacentral:tRNA from 1 species